rnacentral:rRNA from 1 species
CCUACGGGUGGCUGCAGUGGGGAAUAUUGGACAAUGGGCGAAAGCCUGAUCCAGCCAUGCCGCGUGUGUGAAGAAGGCCUUCGGGUUGUAAAGCACUUUCAGUGGGGAAGAAAGCCUUGGGGCUAAUACCCUCGAGGAAGGACAUCACCCACAGAAGAAGCACCGGCUAACUCCGUGCCAGAGCCGCGGUAAUACGGAGGGUGCGAGCGUUAAUCGGAAUUACUGGGCGUAAAGCGCGCGUAGGCGGUCUGAUAAGCCGGUUGUGAAAGCCCCGGGCUCAACCUGGGAACGGCAUCCGGAACUGUCCGGCUAGAGUGCAGGAGAGGAAGGUAGAAUUCCCGGUGUAGCGGUGAAAUGCGUAGAGAUCGGGAGGAAUACCAGUGGCGAAGGCGGCCUUCUGGACUGACACUGACGCUGAGGUGCGAAAGCGUGGGUAGCAAACAGGAUUAGAUACCCUAGUAGUC